AUCAGGUAGGGAUACCCGCUGAACUUAAG
rnacentral:rRNA from 1 species